GGAACCAGGGGGAUCGAACCACGAUCUCUUCGCGUUAUUAGCACGACGCUCUAACCACUGAGCUAAUAGGGC
rnacentral:tRNA from 13 species